rnacentral:rRNA from 1 species
CAGCCGCGGUAAUACAGAGGGUGCAAGCGUUAAUCGGAAUUACUGGGCGUAAAGCGCGCGUAGGUGGUUUGUUAAGUUGGAUGUGAAAUCCCCGGGCUCAAACCUGGGAAAUGCAUUCAAAACUGACUGACUAGAAGUAUGGUAGAAGGGUGGUGGGAUUUCCUGUGUAGCGGUGAAAUGCGUAGAUAUAGGAAAGGACACCAGCGGCGAAGGCGACCACCUGGACUAAUACUGACACUGAGGUGCGAAAGCGUGGGGNGCAAANAGGAUUAGAUACCCUGGUNGUCCACGCCGNAAACGAUGNCNACUAGCCGUUGGAAAGCCNUGAGCAUUUNGUGGCGCNGCUAACGCNUUANGUUGACCGCCUGGGGAGU